GUAGUCCACACCGUAAACGAUGGAUACUUGUUGUUAGAGGUAUUGACCCCUCUAGUGACGUAGCUAACGCGUUAAGUAUCCCGCCUGGGGAGUACGGUCGCAAGAUUAAAACUCAAAGAAAUUGACGGGGGCCCGCACAAGCGGUGGAGCAUGUGGUUUAAUUCGAUGCAACGCGAAGAACCUUACCUGGGCUUGACAUGAACUGGAAGAGUGGCGGAGACGUCCUCGCCCGCAAGGGCCGGUUCACAGGUGCUGCAUGGCUGUCGUCAGCUCGUGUCGUGAGAUGUUGGGUUAAGUCCCGCAACGAGCGCAACCCUUACCUCUAGUUGUCAGCAUUAAGUUGGACACUCUAGUGGGACUGCCUGCGUUAAGCAGGA
rnacentral:rRNA from 1 species